UACAGAGGUCCCGAGCGUUGUUCGGAUUCACUGGGCGUAAAGGGUGCGUAGGUGGUGAGGUAAGUCGGAUGUGAAAUCUCCAAGCUCAACUUGGAAAUGGCAUUGAAAAACUACCUUGCUCGAGGGUUUGAGGGGGGACUGGAAUACUUGGUGUAGCAGUGAAAUGCGUAGAUAUCAAGUGGAACACCAGUGGCGAAGGCGAGUCCCUGGAAAACUCCUGACACUGAGGCACGAAAGCUAGGGGAGCAAACAGG
rnacentral:rRNA from 1 species